UACAGAGGGGGCCAGCGUUAUUCGGAAUUAUUGGGCGGAAAAGGCGCGUAGGCGGCUCUGCGUGUCUUUCGUGAAAUCCCUCGGCUUAACCGGGGAACUGCAUCUGAUACUGGAUGGCUUGAGUUCGGGAGAGGGAUGCGGAAUUCCAGGUGUAGCGGUGAAAUGCGUAGAUAUCUGGAGGAACACCGGUGGCGAAGGCGGCAUCCUGGACCGACACUGACGCUGAGGAGCGAAAGCCAGGGGAGCAAACGGG
rnacentral:rRNA from 1 species